GGGGACACAUCAGCGGCAGACGGGUGAGUAACACGUAGGUAACCUACCCCAGAGACAGAGAUACCCUAGGAAACGAGGGCUAAUACCGGAUGACCUCCGGAAGGAGGAAAGGCUCAGGCGCUCUGGGAGGGGCUUGCGGCCAUCAGCUAGUUGGUAGGGUAAAGGCCUACCAAGGCGAAGACGGGUAGGGGGUGUGAGAGCACGGCCCCCCACAAUGGGACUGAAACACGGCCCAUACUCCUACGGGAGGCAGCAGCAGGGAAUAUUGCACAAUAGGCGAAAGCCUGAUGCAGCGACGCCGCGUGAGUGAAGAAGGCCUUCGGGUCGUAAAGCUCUUUUGUAGGGGAAGAGGAAGGACGGUACCCUAAGAAGAAGCGUCGGCUAACUACGUGCCAGCAGCCGCGGUAAGACGUAGGACGCGAGCGUUAUCCGGAAUUACUGGGCGUAAAGGGCCAGCAGGCGGCUUGGUAAGUUGUGCGUGAAAGCCUCGUGCUCAACGCGAGGAAGCCGGACAAUACUGUCAAGCUAGAGGGCAUCAGAGGGGAGUGGAAUUCCCGGAGUAGCGGUAAAAUGCGCAGAUNUCGGGAGGAACACCGAUGGCGAAGGCAGCUCCCUGGGAUGCACCUGACGCUAAGAGGCGAAAGCUAGGGGAGCGAACAGGAUUAGAGACCCUGGUAGUCCUAGCUGUAAACCGCUUGGGUGCUAGGUGUG
rnacentral:rRNA from 1 species